rnacentral:rRNA from 1 species
UACGAGGUCGAGCGUAACUACGGAUUACUCGGCGGUAAGCGUGCGCAGGCGGUUUGUUAAGCGAGAUGUGAAAGCCCUGGGCUCAACCUAGGAAUAGCAUUUCGAACUGGCGAACUAGAGUCUUGUAGAAGGGGUAGAAUUCCAGGUGUAGCGGUGAAAUGCGUAGAGAUCUGGAGGAAUACCGGUGGCGAAGGCGGCCCCCUGGACAAAGACUGACGCUCAGGCACGAAAGCGUGGGGAGCAAACAGGAUUAGAUACCCCGGUAGU